GACGAACGCUGGCGGCGUGCCUAAUACAUGCAAGUUGAGCGCUGAAGGUUGGUACUUGUACCGACUGGAUGAGCAGCGAACGGGUGAGUAACGCGUGGGGAAUCUGCCUUUGAGCGGGGGACAACAUUUGGAAACGAAUGCUAAUACCGCAUAAAAACUUUAAACACAAGUUUUAAGUUUCAAAGAUGCAAUUGCAUCACUCAAAGAUGAUCCCGCGUUGUAUUAGCUAGUUGGUGAGGUAAAGGCUCACCAAGGCGAUGAUACAUAGCCGACCUGAGAGGGUGAUCGGCCACAUUGGGACUGAGACACGGCCCAAACUCCUACGGGAGGCAGCAGUAGGGAAUCUUCGGCAAUGGACGAAAGUCUGACCGAGCAACGCCGCGUGAGUGAAGAAGGUUUUCGGAUCGUAAAACUCUGUUGGUAGAGAAGAACGUUGGUGAGAGUGGAAAGCUCAUCAAGUGACGGUAACUACCCAGAAAGGGACGGCUAACUACGUG
rnacentral:rRNA from 1 species